rnacentral:lncRNA from 1 species
AUCACAGGAUUUCAAAAGCUGUUGAAUUCAAAACCAUACACAUAAGGAUUUAAAAUCAUAAGAUAUUUUCUCACAGUGUGAUGCUGAAGAAUUUACCUUUUGGAAUUCAAGGAAGAUGCAAGAAUCUGGAGUCAUUGAAGAUCUUGCUUAGAUAUGCAUCAAAAGGCCUGUAUAUCUGAAGCACAGAAUGCUUCGUCCUGUUGUUCGUACUGUAUUCUCUUCAGGCUGCACUAUGGGAGUCUCAAAGUUACAUGAAUAUGAUCUACCAUCUGGCUACUCUUGGGAGUACAAUGCCCUGGUACCUGAGGCAAGAAGUGGAGCCUCUGAAUCAGAAUACUUCUCCUGUGACUCCUCUUUUUCCAAUCCCUCUUGUGCUGAAUUCUGGAAGACUCCAGAGGAUACUUCUCAGCCUGAAUCAUAUGUGGAGGUCCCAGUCUGCAGUCAGACACCAGGAGAAAAGUCCUCUGACUCAGAAUAUUUCUCCUGUGUCUCCUCACCAUGCAAGCUUAUUUUUGCUGAUGAGGACGGAAUCCAUCCUAUGCAUCAAGAUGAUUCUUAUCUUAGAUCCCCUGAGAAGCCUUUACCCCAGGAUUUGGAGCAAUGGGAGACUUCUUCCCCUUUUCCACAAGUUUCUUUUCCAUUUAAUUUGGUUAAUAGUAAUGAGUCCUUUGUGUCAUCUAUAUUUAUGAAAAAGAAAAGGGUCAUGAAAAUUUACUACAUGCAUGUCCAAAUGAAAAAAGGUGUGGCUAUCCUAUGGGAAACAGAGAAAGGAUUAGAGCCUCCCUCAAAGAAGAUAAAAAUAGAAGAAAUGACAUAUCCUGAAAAGAUUCAUAUGGCAUUCACCCUCCCUCACAUGUCUACAAAGGAGUUCCUAACUGACAGUGAGUUCAGUUGGGACAGCAAAGUCCAAGAGGAAAGGGAGGAAACUGAUAGUCCAGCAGAACCUACAGUUCUGGAGGAAUGUUCCAGGGCCAAGACGCCUGAAUGGCUAGUGGCCCUUGAUAGUGGCUUCAGGUGCAUGGGCUGCUGCCGGGUCUUCCCCAGCUUAGACAUCCUUCAGGAGCAUGUGGAGCAUGGAGUCAAGGAAGGCUUUAGCUGCCAUGCCUUCCAUCUUGCUUUGGCCUGGCUCAAGAGCAAGGGGAGCAAGAAAGGGAAAAAGAAGAGGAGGAAGAAGACGAAAAUCAAGAAGACAACAUCUGGGCACCAGAACGAAAAACAUUUUGGCAUGAAGACAUCUUCAUGCAAAUAGACCAUUUUUCAGCCCCUAAAAGAGAGGAAUUCAAGGAAGCCAGACUCUACUCAGGAGGCUUCAUCUUCUCUAAGCAUCCAUCAUACCCACCUUUCUCUACACAUAUCUACCACCACACCACCAAUAGGAACAGAUAAUACCUUUUAAUAUUAUCCACUGCUCUCUCGAAAAGAGGGGAGAAGAAGGCAUUUAACAUCAUGCAGAAAAGCAAGAUGUCCACAUGCAAUUAUAGAAAAAUGAACGUCAGUAUAUUAUCUCCACAACUAAAAAUGAGAAAAGGAGACUCACUGGAAGUGGAAAUUGCUAUGAGCUGGUUUUCAGAAGAGUUUUCUUACAGCAGCACAGACCCAGUGGUGCAAAGAUUUCAAACAAUGGUGUCCUGCACACUCCAAUGAUCUGAUAGCAGUUCUUGUGAGCCCCAUAGCAUCGAGGCUCUGAGUAUAUGUGAUCAAUUGGUUGCUGUUGAUCUCUUCUGUCUGGUGUUGGAUGUUGUGUGUUUUGUCAUCUCCGUGACCCUGGGUACUGAGAAGUGCCUGCAACCUAUAAAUGAUAUAGUAAACUUCUCAUUGUUCUGAAGAUUUUGGCAUCAGAAAUGGGAUUUAAAGAAGACCUGCAACAACUCUGAGGACAGUCAACAAACAGGUACCUGUUCCCACAGGUUGAUUUCUCACCAAUCCAGGAGUUUGCGGGUAACUCUCUCUCUUGGAACUCCACUCUGAUUGUGUUUAGAGCACUCUGAUUUUAUUGUGCAUACUUGUAUUUUGCUUGUUUAAGAUUUUACGAAGUUUUUCUAUGCUUUUUUUGUAAUCUUUCUAGGAAAUAAGAAGUGCAAAGUUUGGUUUUCAAGUGCAUCAUUUUUUGGUGAACUCUCACCAGCUCU